UACGAAGGGGGCGAGCGUUGUUCGGAUUACUGGGCGUAAAGGGCGCGCAGGCGGCUAUCCAAGUCAGGCGUGAAAGCCCCGGGCUUAACCUGGGAGGUGCGUCUGGGACUGGGUGGCUAGAGAUCGGGAGAGGAGAGUGGAAUUCCCAGUGUAGAGGUGAAAUUCGUAGAUAUUCGCAAGAACACCAGUGGCGAAGGCGGCUCACUGGCCCGAUACUGACGCUGAGGCACGAAAGCGU
rnacentral:rRNA from 1 species